rnacentral:lncRNA from 1 species
UGGCUAGCUAAAUUACAUGCCUUGUUUAACUUAUCUGUAAAAGAAAGCAAAGGCUGUCUCUGGGUUAUUUGGAGAACCAGAAGAAAUGAUGCAGGACCUGUCUCUUGGCCCAUGGGACACCAUGUUUGCCUUUGAGCAGAGCUCAGGCUGGACCAGUUAAGUUAUAGGACAAGCUUGGUACAGCGAGGCAGGCUGGAGAGUGAGGGAAAUGUGGCUCCAGUUCAAAUCAACGAGAGGCUCCACCUGCAGGUAUACCGGGUCGUGCUGCCAGGCUGGAGGAAGAGAAGGCUAUGGUGGUAGUGGCAGAAGUGAAAUCUGCUGUACAACAGGAAGUGACCUCACCCAGGAAGGCUGCGGCAGAGGGUUCCACAAGUAUGUUCCAAAUGAACACCUGCUCCCCGGGUAUUACCUGAGCAGCCUGUGCUGAGACAAAGCAGAGUUUAUGGCUCAGUGCUGCAAGAAAAUAUGAGAAUCUUAGUUGCCUUUGAGAACAUGCCUGGGGCUGGGGUUGUUGCCAGUGAUAGAGUACUUGGAUAGCAUGCAUGAGGGCCCAGGUUCCUUCCCAGCAAUGCAAAAUAACUAAAAAUCUGAUUUAAAGUGGACCUUUCAGUGUGGGAUGGGAAAACAGGGCUUGAUUAAAAUUGGAUCAGGACCAUGACAUCAUACUUUACGAUUGGGUGCACACUUAUAAUCCCAGCACUCAGAAAGCUGAGGCAGGAGGAUCACUUCAAGUUUGAGGCCAGCCUGAACUACAUAGUGAGACCUUGUCUCAAAAAAAAAACCCAAGGUUUUUCAGUGGUGCCAUGCUUGCCUGGCAAGCACAAGAUCCUGAGUUCAAUUCAAUUCCCAGUGCCAAAAAAAAAAAAAACCUUUUAUGGGCUGGGGAUUUAGCUCAGUGGUUCUGCCACCUGCCUCAAGAGCAUAAGGUUCCGAGUUUGAUCCCCAAUACCAAAAAAAACACAACAAACCAAACUUUUGAAUUGGUGGGCACUGUAAGGCUAGAAUUUUCAGGCAUGUGGUAUAAAGCAUCUUAGACUAACUCGUCAUUGAAUGGAGACGGAGACAUUGGCGAAGGAAGGCACUUACCUUUAGAAGGAGCAGGAAGGAUAUUUGUAAUUUAUCUUCUAAGAGUUUCUUAGAGUAAUAAGUUCAUAAGAUGAAGAAAGCAAGCUGUGUACAGUUUCCAAUUUCUUAGGUUUCCUCUCUCCUUUUGGGCAGGGG